UACGAGGGGAGCAAGCGUUGUUCGGAUUUACUGGGCGUAAAGGGCGCGUAGGCGGCUCCAAAAGUCAGGGGUGAAAUCCGGCAGCUUAACUGUCGCAGUGCCUUUGAUACUGUGGAGCUAGAGGGAGGUAGGGGUCUGUGGAACUUCCGGUGGAGCGGUGAAAUGCGUUGAUAUCGGAAGGAACGCCGGUGGCGAAAGCGACGGACUGGAUCUCUUCUGACGCUGAGGCGCGAAAGCCAGGGGAGCAAACGGG
rnacentral:rRNA from 1 species